rnacentral:rRNA from 1 species
AGCUCCAAUAGCGUAUAUUAAAGUUGUUGUGGUUAAAAAGCUCGUAGUUGGAUUUCUGGUGUGAGGGAACGGUCCGACCUCUGGUGGGUACUUGCUUCCUCUCACGCCAUCCUUGAGUGGUGCGUUCUGGCAUUCAGUUGUCGGGACGUUAGCCGCUCAUCGUUUACUGUGAGAAAAUUAGAGUGUUCAAAGCAGGCUUAUGCCGUUGAAUAUAUUAGCAUGGAAUAAUAAGAUAGGACUUCGGUACUAUUUUGUUGGUUUGCGCACCGAUGUAAUGAUCAAUAGGGACAGUUGGGGGUAUUCGUAUUCAGUUGUCAGAGGUGAAAUUCUUAGAUUUACGGAAGACGAACUACUGCGAAAGCAUUUACCAAGGAUGUUUUCA